rnacentral:rRNA from 1 species
AGCUUGCUCCCUGGCGGCGAGUGGCGCACGGGUGAGUAAUACAUCGGAACGUGUCUUCUAGUGGGGGAUAACUGCCCGAAAGGGCAGCUAAUACCGCAUGAGACCUGAGGGUGAAAGCGGGGGAUCGCAAGACCUCGCGCUGGAAGAGCGGCCGAUGUCCGAUUAGCUAGUUGGUGAGGUAAAGGCUCACCAAGGCGACGAUCGGUAGCUGGUCUGAGAGGACGACCAGCCACACUGGGACUGAGACACGGCCCAGACUCCUACGGGAGGCAGCAGUGGGGAAUUUUGGACAAUGGGGGCAACCCUGAUCCAGCCAUGCCGCGUGCAGGAUGAAGGUCUUCGGAUUGUAAACUGCUUUUGUCAGGGACGAAAAGGGAUGCGAUAACACCGUAUUCCGCUGACGGUACCUGAAGAAUAAGCACCGGCUAACUACGUGCCAGCAGCCGCGGUAAUACGUAGGGUGCAAGCGUUAAUCGGAAUUACUGGGCGUAAAGCGUGCGCAGGCGGUUCUGUAAGAUAGAUGUGAAAUCCCCGGGCUCAACCUGGGAAUUGCAUAUAUGACUGCAGGACUUGAGUUUGUCAGAGGAGGGUGGAAUUCCACGUGUAGCAGUGAAAUGCGUAGAUAUGUGGAAGAACACCGAUGGCGAAGGCAGCCCUCUGGGACAUGACUG